rfam:Camelus ferus unplaced genomic scaffold scaffold2305, whole genome shotgun sequence.
GAGGGUAUAGCUCAGUGCUAGAGUACAUGCCUAGCAUGCAUAAAGUCCUAGGUUCAAUCCCCAGUACCUCCA